UAUUGGACAAUGGGCGCAAGCCUGAUCCAGCCAUGCCGCGUGAGUGAUGAAGGCCUUAGGGUUGUAAAGCUCUUUCACCGAUGAAGAUAAUGACGGUAGUCGGAGAAGAAGCCCCGGCUAACUUCGUGCCAGCAGCCGCGGUAAUACGAAGGGGGCUAGCGUUGUUCGGAAUUACUGGGCGUAAAGCGCACGUAGGCGGAUAUUUAAGUCAGGGGUGAAAUCCCGCAGCUCAACUGCGGAACUGCCUUUGAUACUGGGUAUCUUGAGUAUGGAAGAGGUAAGUGGAAUUCCGAGUGUAGAGGUGAAAUUCGUAGAUAUUCGGAGGAACACCAGUGGCGAAGGCGGCUUACUGGUCCAUUACUGACGCUGAGGUGCGAAAGCGUGGGGAGCAAACAGG
rnacentral:rRNA from 1 species